GCCUCGGGGCAGCAGUUCUGGUGAAGGGGAAAGGAGAAGCCCCAGAAAGCUUCAUGGUCACGCCACGUAUGGGAUGCUCGGCAGCUGCCCUGGCUGGGAUCUAACAACAGGAAGCCAGCGGACCUCACGGGGCCAUUCCCAGGCUUAGAUUGAAGGGAAUCUAAGUUCGGGAAAACAAUUGGUACAGGAUGUGCAGCUUGAAGAAGCUGAGGGGAUGAGUAUACUAAAUAUGCCACACUGUCUGCACCAUGCCAGAUUUGCUAUCUGCAAUUGCACAUCUGCCAGUGACCUCUGUCUGUUACUGAAGAAGGCUGCUGGCUUCUUUGCUGUAUAUCCUGAUCACGCUGACUUCCUUCUGCAACUUCUAGAUAAGUAAAUUUUUUUGAUUUAUCAGGAAGUGUCUUUGGUCUCUCAGUCAAUUCGAUUCUACUACUGACAUUUAUCAACAUGGUACUCUACACAUGUGUCAACAAUUU
rnacentral:lncRNA from 1 species